rnacentral:lncRNA from 1 species
GGAAAACUUAGAAAAUUCAUGUUCACUAUUUGCAAAAGCAGAGAUCAUCAUAUUACGACAAAAUCAAAGAUUAUAUUCGAAUGUAUUUGUGACAAAAUUGAAAAAAAUAUUUUAAAAAUGUGUUAAAAUGGAAAUAUUAGAUGAAAAAACACCGGGUAAAGAGGAAAACGUAGAAAACAUAUUCUUUUUCAUUAGACAAAAAGGAGAGAAACAUUUUCUGAUAAAUUUCGAGAUGUUCUUAUACACUAUUUCUGAUAAAAGUGAAAACUGUACAGAAAAAUGUGGUUAAAAUGGAGGAAAUUGAUUGAAAAAGCGAUUGGUCAAAUCGAAAAUGGAGAAAACUCAUGUUCACUAUGUGAGAAAGCAGAGGUCAUCAUUGUAAGAUAGGGGAGUGGGAGGGAGGGUAUGGGGGACUUUUGGGAUAGAAUUGGAAACGUAAUUGAGGAAAAUACCCAAUUUUAAAAAAUUACAAGAUGUUAUUCAAAUGUAUUUUUGAGAAAAUUGACAAAAUUUAUAGAAAAAUGUUUUAUAAUGGAAGAAUUCGAUGGAAAAACCUUCAGUUAGAAAGGAAAACAAAGAAAACAUAUUUUUUCUAAUAGAGAAAAUGGAGAGAAUCAU